CAGAUGAAUUUGCAAUUGCCGAGUACAGUGCUCCUUGCAGCAAAGAUCAUGGAAAUGCUUGAAGACCACGACAGUGAAAACUGCUUUGCUGGGGUCCCUGUUUCACAGACUGAGGUUUCCGUGGAAGAAAAGAAUUUUUGUAUCUAUGAAGAUUUGAAAUAAACCUUUUUUUCUGGUCAAUCUUUA